GCUGCAAGAACUCAAUACCUUCGAAUGUAACAGCUUCAUUUGCUCGAACCUAUUCGUACUGGUUUUGGUUAUGUUGUUCCAAUUCAAGCAACGGCAAUAUCUGGUUUUCCUGAACUCGAGUUAUGUCAUCUCUUUUCCUUUUAAAAACCAAAUCAAUUCUUCUCUGAGAUUGAUUUUCCUUGCCCAUGAUUACCUGUGUUGCAAUUUGUAUAAGAUCAGGCUAUUCACUUUCUUAUCAAAUGGACACAACUAUUUUUUAUCAAUAGUUCAACACUGGACACUCAAAACAGAUGAAUAGUUGGCGCUAAUGGUUAGAAAUCCCACUGGACACUCAACAGUCAACAGAAUUCUGUACAGGUGGAAUUCCAUAUGGAUAAAAUCUGUUUCUUAUAAACACUGGACACUGAAAAUAGAUGAGUUCAUGACUCAUAAGUAGAUGUAAAGAACUGAACAAAAAUGAUAAAAUGGGGAAUUACCUCUUGCUUCUGACAGUUGCUCUACUCUUGGAGGACAGUAGGAGACUGGAGACUAGGAGAGCUCAUCCAGUGAUCUGCUCAUGCGCCAGCCGCCAGAAGUGGUUCGGCAGGCCGCAGGCCAGUAGCACGACGACGUGGCCGAGCCCAAGCAGAUGUCAUCUGUGAGCAGGUGCAGAGAGUCGGGGGAAGGGAGGAAAGCAAGGGGCUGAACCGUGGCUGUGAGAUACAGGGAUUCCGGCGAGAGAGGAUAGACGCCGUCGGUUCGCCGACGGCAGCGGCUUGCUCCUGUGCUCCCUGCUCGACUGUGGGACAGUUUGG
rnacentral:lncRNA from 1 species